AUUAUAAUCAGACUUGGUUUGGAGAGGUAAUGGAUGACAUAUGUACUUUGCAGAAUAGUCUCAAAAUACUAUGUACAUGGAAAUGUAAGAGCAACAAUAACAAAACAAAAUCCGCUUCUCCAAAACCCUAAUCCAAAAACCCAUCUCCCAACUCCUAAAACCCAUAUCCUGUCUCCACCCAUUAGCCCCGCCUCAUACAAUUCCCCAGGAUAAUUCCACAAAGCACAAAACCCU
rnacentral:misc_RNA from 1 species